GGGGAUGACUCGACUAAAAUGUACGUCUUAUAGGAAUCAAGGGGGAUGACUCGACUAAAAGGUACGUCUUGUAGGAAUCAAAGAAAAUUACUCGACUAAAAGGUACGUCUUAUAGGAAUCAAGGGAGAUGACUCGACUAAAAGGUACGUCUUAUAGGAAUCAAGGGGGAUGACUCGACUAAAAGGUACUAGCAAAUGAAAACUGAAAUCCCUGGAUAAGUGUGUCUCCGAGGGAUAUGGGAUGAUGAAUUUUUACCAUAAUUUUACUAUCAAACCUGUGCAGCAAUAUUGCUUCCGACAUUUGUAAAAGUGAGGCAUUGCAGCCCUUGAUGUUUAUGCUUUGAAGUCCCUGCGUUGAAGGCAAUAUGUUUCCUGUUUCAUUAAAGCAAACUUGUGAGUUUAAAACACGGUGACUGGUUUGUGGCUUUAGCUUUUGCGGCGAUUGUUCUUGCCUCAUCACAUUUAACCUUGCUUCCAACCGUUAGCAUGCAUCAUUGAUUUGCUGCAUCAUUGACCCAAACUCAGGUUAUUAAGAGUGACUCUAAAACAAACACAUUAUUUCUGCUUUGCUAUGUUUCUCAGAUAAACCCUUUGCGCCUAGGUAUUUCCAUGGGUUCCCAGACUUGUCUAUUGAAAAAACUUUCUUCAUGUCCUUUUUCGACUCACAAUCAUGUCUCUUUCAUGUGCUGGCUAUUGUCUUGCUUUGUGUAAUUAAAGAAGCUGGUAGCCAGUUUUGAAAUCUUUUCUCACUUAUUUUUUAUGCGGACUUGACUCAAAGACAAGAGAAAAAAUAACAAUGAUUUUUGGAUAACUGACUCAAGAAAAUAAAAUGAAAAUAAAAUAAAAAUAAAAUAAAGAAAGGAAAGAAAAGACCAUAAAUGUCCCUAUUUGAAACAAAGAAAUGAAAAAUUUAUCUAAAAAUGACAAUCAACUCUAAUGAUUAUGCCUGCAUUUUGAAUUAAUCUGCCUGAUCUUUUCAUCCAUACUUUCACCAAUUGUUGUUGAGUUAAUGGCCUUGAAAAAUGAGUUUCUUCAUUUGGUCAAUUGCGUUUAAGACCUAAUUCGGCUAGUGACACCUUGAAGGGUUUUCGCCAACAAGCCAUUCAUUCUCUUUCUCUCAAUCAACAUUGCCUGAUGGUGCCCGUGAGGGUUUUCACCAAUAAGGCUCUCUCAUUUUUAUUUCUCUCAAUUUACCAUUAUCUUACGGUGGCCGAAAGGGUUUUCACCAAUAAGACUCUCUCAUUUGUAUUUCUCUCAUGAUUUUUUAUGCUGAGGAAAACAAGUAGUACCCAAAAUGCUGCAUCAUAUCCGUUGCAUGCUCAAAAAUUGAUCUGAAGGUCUUUCUUUGGUUGUAACUUGACUUUUGGAUACGAUUAGAAAGAAAGGAUAACAUGAGGCUCAAACAACUUGAAGUGGGGUAGGACUUACAACUUUUGGAAUUGACUCAAACAAUGAGGAUUAACUCAUGCCCCAGUUUCUUUUGACUAUGUAAUUCUAAAUUAUUUAUUUGGGUAGACUGAGCCCAGAGUAGGCUAGCGUACGUAUCUCACCCCCGAGAGAGAAGAAUCAGGUCACGCGUAGUUCUGACAGCUUGUUCUUUUGCUUGAUUUUGACUUCCCUUUUUAUUCCAUUGACUUUUAUUGACUCUUUUCUUUUUGGGAUUUUUUUUUCGACUCUUUUUUCUUGACACUCUUUUUUUCUCUUUUUGGACACAUUUUUUCUCUCUUCUCUUUUUUUUUUGAAACUUUCUAACUCUAUUCUUUUGCUCGACACUUUUCUUUUGAAUUUUACUGACUCUAUCCUGAUUCUAAAAGAGGGGUAUGAAAGAAAAUAGAAAUAGGCUCAAAUGGGGUAAACAAAGGAUGACACAAUGUUUGGAUAUUAGAAUGAAAUGCCUUCAUCAUAUCAAUCCUUGAAAAUGUAAGUACAUAUCAUGCAAUAUGAAAUAAAAAAUAAAGAUCAUUUGUGACACUUUAACAACACUAACUUCAACUGAGCAUGUGUGCCCAUUCUUCUUCUACCCUUGUCAAACAUACAACUCCACUUUCGUUGUACAUUCCUCAUGCUGAAGGACUCAUGACUUCGUGGAGCUGAUUUUCUUUCUGUUCCUUUUGACAUAGGAUCGCACAUUCACUACUUGACCUAAUUGAGAUGUGUCUUUCAAUUGAUGACCAAGUUCUCACGAUUCUCAAAAUAAUUGCCUUAAUUUUCAAAGAGGCUUCAACUUGAUCACCAAAUGCCCUAACACUCUAUCCAUUUUCUCAGAUGCUCUCUUUUUCUAAUUUUAAUCCUCUAAUUCAAUGUUCAUGCUUAAACUGAAUUUUAAGAUCUGGCUGAAAGUUCCACAAACAUGUCAUAUCACUAGAGUCAACAUAAAAUGUACUGUAUAAAGAAAACAAACAAACAAAACAUAUUUUAGAACACAAAGGUAAAGAGACAAUUCAUUUAGUUGAAAUAAAAGAUAGAAGGGUUUGAACAUGAAUGACAAAAGGACAAAACAAGAUAGAUCCCGAACUACAAUCCUAAAAUAAUUUGAAAAACAGAAAAAAAAAAAAACUACCAGACCUUUUCCUAGUAAGGAGAGAGGUGACUUCUCAAUUGCUCAGCCUGACAACUUAGUCACUGGUUUGCAUAUCAGCAUGAUUAGAGCUUCCCUCACUGUUAAUGUUCUGCACCAUAAUUGAUCCAUCUUGAAUUAUCUUUUCAAUUUCUCUUUUCAAAUCUCGACAAUCUCCAAUACUAUGACCCUGAGCAUCAGAAUGAUACGCACAUCGUGUAUUAGGAUCAAAAUUUCUUGAACUUCGAUUAAGAGUGUUCCUAAGGAGAGGAGUAAUCAUGCCCCUCUUUCUCAAUCUCUGGAACAAACAGGCAUAAGAUUCUCCAAUAGGAGUGAAAUUAUCAUUUUCCUUCCUCAUUUUUACGAACUCUGGCCUCGGAUAAAACAUGGAUUUAGAGGUUCCUUGGUAAAUUUGUGUGGGUCGAGGAUGACGUUGAUGGACAGGUGCAUGUCAUUGUGGAUAACAAGACGGAUGGGUAAACAAUUAUGCAUUAUUCAAAGAACAUUGAGGAAGUGGAAUGAAACUCCUUGGAUUUUGAAAAGAGGAACCUUGUUGCAGAUGAGUAAGUGGAUUUGAUAUGUAAGCUGGGGAUUGAAGCUGACAGUAUUGGUGAGUUGGGCCUCUUAAACUCUGCUUUGGCCCUGGCACGACAAUAGGUGCGUUUUCCUUCUUCUUUCCUUCAGUUUUCCUCGAUCGAUUGCAAUAUCGUCCCAAAUGUUUCACAGAAUCAUUUUGUCCAUCAAGCUCCUCAAAUUUUGAUAUCUCAAAGCUUGGAGGAAGGCUAACACUUAAAAACAUGCCCCAGUUUUUAUAUAAAACAUCUUUAUAGCCCACAAGUCCCAAGGAACUUUUCAUGUCAUUUUUUACACUCUUAACUUUCCCAACCAUUUUCUCUGGCUCUUCUAGCAUCCUAGCCUUCUUAGUAAGAAAUUUUGGCGGUCCACUUAACUUAACUGUAGGCUCAAGAGUAUAACAAUGAUCACCAAGAGUAUUGGAUGUGGAUUCACUAGUGGACUGGGGAAGCACAAUCAUUGGAUUGAUAGCCAAAGUGGAAGCCUUAGUAGAAGGUUGAGCAACAAAAACACAGACGGCAUGUGGUGCUGUGAAUAUGGUAGACUUAUACUGAGGAGCUAAAGAAAGAGUGGUGGAAGUAUUGAGGUGCAUUUGACGUGGAAUGGAUUCUGAGGCAUGCUGUGGUGCAUCAACAACAGUAGGAAACUGACUUUACGAUUUUGGUGGAAAACUCAAGGUAUUUGUAAGGUCAAAAGUGGGGAAUGGGGGUGGAGGCAGCCCACUGGCCCAAGAUCAGUGCAUUUCAUUCAUUUGUUGUCUUAGUCUCAAAUUCUCUUCCUUUAAACUCUCAAUUUCCUGACUCAUUGUUUCAUCCAUGAUGCCACUCUUUAUAUCCUUAUUGGACACAACUAACCCUUUCUUGAAUUUGGUGUGAUAUGGAGGACCAGACAGGAAGCCACAGACCAACCACCUUAAACUAACUGAACAAGAGGCAACAAAUAUGUUAAAGUUCAACAUUUUUUAUUCAAAACCUUUUUUUCUUUUAGAAAAGAUCACCGAACCCAAAAAGGGUGCUUACAUAUCUCACUCCCGAAAGAGGAGAAUCAGGUGUGUGUAGUUCGUGAAGCCUUGCCAAAAUGACCAAUUAAACUCUUUUUCUUUUUCUUUUUCUUGAAAUUUUAAGAAGAAAAGAAAAAUGACAAAUUAUCAAAAGAAUAGACGAAAAUCUUUUUGAAUUUUUUUCAGCUUUAAUAGCCUAUACAAAAUGAAAACGAUGAUUACCAAAGAAACUCCUUUUUUUGGGUUUUCAAUUUUGCAUUUCAUACGAAAAUGAAACUUGAACCUAUUAAAGGAAAUUUUUUUUGUACUUUUCUUUUAUUGAUGCAUAUGACACCUUCUCUAAAUGAAGAGUGAAGAAAAAUAUUUUUGAAUUUUUGAAAUAAGAUCCGCAAACCAACAAUAGGCUGUCUACGUAUCUCACUUCCGCGACGCGUAGUUCGUCCAGAUUGGACAAUUAAGGAUUAAAUGACAAACUAAACCCUGAAUUGAGAGACACAACUAAAGAUAGACGAUGAAAAUAAAAUCUUUUUUGGGGAUUUUCAAUUUGACACUUCACAUAAAACUGACACCAACAACUAUGAAAGAGAAAGAAUCUUUUUGGUAUUUUCGCUAUAUGAAAUGUACAAAACUUUUCUCAUCUUUUUUAUCUUUGUUUUAUAAAAAGCUCUUAUAAAAAAAUCUUUUUUUGAAUUUUUUGAAUUGUGAAUGCAUGGUAAAGGAACAAAAGGAAACUCUUUUUGAUGUUUUUGAGAAAAUGCGUGAAAAAGGUAAGAAAAUCUUUUUGAAUUUUUGGAUUGUGAAAAAUAAAAUCCAUAAAGAAAUCUAAAAAAAACUACGAAACUCUUUUUCUUUCAUCAUUCUUUUUUUUUCAUGCCUACACACCUUUCUUUAAUUCUAGCACAUGCUUUGCCCAAAAUCAGUCUGUCAAAUAACCACGUUGCCCUCAAAGAUGCAACAUUUAGCAUGUAAGGAUACUUUAGAGGCGAGUCUCCUACAGAGGGCCAAGUGGACCCCGCUUGGUCUUCAAUAUGAUGCACAUAAGCAUGACUUAAAGACUGACCUACGUUAGGGUUCACUAACAAGGCUGUUCGAGAGAGCGUAUGGUCGAUAGUGACUGCUUUGCUUUCUACCUACUCCAUAACACCGACGGUUCCCCCCUAAAAUAAGGGUGACUCAACUAGAGGUCGUGUACAACACGUGUACUACGGACUUGUCGCAGAAAGAAUGACUUGGGUUAUGCACAUGAUGCCAGAUAUAAAGCGGUAACACAUAAAAUAAAAACUGUAAACAAAGAGAACGUGGGCACUCAACAGUGAUAAUACAAUAACACAAAAUAACACAAACAAAUUGUCCAUACACCUAUAGUGCCAAACUAAGCCGAUACAACUCCAAAAUAAGCUCGAAUUCUAAAAUAGUCCCCAGCAGAGUCGCCAGAGCUUUCAAACCCUUUUUUUUAACCGAAAAAAAUUAGAUUAAGGGUCGAAAGGGUUUUUAUUAUUAAAGUGACAAAAGAAUAAAAAUUUAUUUCGAAAAAAAAAUUAUUUAUAUUUUUUAUUCAGAGUCGUAACUUGGCAUAAUUUGGUGUGCCAAGUCACCUUUGAAAAAUUCUUUUCAAGACGUUUUGACUCUAAAACUGAUCUACGAACAGAGAUUCCGACUAAGAAAUUCUAUUAACCGAGGGGAAGGUGUUAGGCACCCCUCGAUCCCAUGGUUCGACCACAGUCGCUUAGUGAAAUAUAUCGGCUAAUCUAACACUAUGGAUGUAUAAACCACACAAAACACAUAAAAACAACCAAUCAAACACGCGAAACAAAACAAAUCCAAAAUAUAAUGUUCAGUCCAAUUAUUACAAACUGAAGUAAAAAAGUACUGAAAAGUAAACCUACGCUAAUCCUAAACUAUGCUCCAAUGCUUUACCCUGUGCCUCGGGCCUUCAACACGAACCUCCUUUGUGUACAUGAUACGUCGGGGCAUUCUCCGAUAAAUAAGUACAAAAGGUCCUGAGGCAUCCCUCGGCAAAAUAAAUACAUCUUUUCAAUGCGACAAAAUCAAACCAUUCAACAAAAUUUCAAACAUUCAACAAAACCACAAAUUCUAAACUUUGCCUACCCAACCUACGUUUGCCUAUCCAUUUCAACAUAUUAUGCUACUAUCAAGUUUGAUUAGCGUUCAUUUCAAGUCAAAAAAUAACUCAUGAAUCAAACCAACCAAAAUUAACAUUUUUAUCAAGUGUUGGUUCUCAUUCCACUCAUCCCCAAACAACCAAUUUUAAUUCUCAAACGCAAAAUACUAUUUCACCAUGCAGUUCAUAAUCAACGGAAUCAAUCAAUGAAUCAAAAACCAAGCAAUUAUUCACCAUUGACAAAGCUCAAACAACACACAACGUCCAAACCAUAACACCGAAUAUUAUGACCAAGGAAAUAAUAAGUAAAAAGCAAAGAUUGGAAAUGGACCUCAAAUUUGACGUAUUAUUUCAAUUGAACUGUUUGACGGAGCGGUGCCGGAAUAUCUUGAACAGAAAUUCCCCAACAACGAACUCCCGACUUCAAUAACCCAAAAUCCGAACUGACUUGAACAAAAUUGACCGACCCGUUUCACACAAAACGAAACUCAGACCCAAUUCUCGAUGAAGAACUGAGAACCUCGACAAAUCGACUCCGGUGAGCUAACAGUGAAAGAAACUGACUGAAAUAGGCUGGAUUUCGGUGAGUUAUGGGUGGAUUAACGUUUUUCUGGCGAGUAGAUCUCCGGAACAGUGACUAGCGAUCCAAAAUUUCGUUCCUUCCCACAGUUUUUUCUACUUCUUUCUCUCACAGUUUUUCUGUAGCGUUCUCGAAUCUCUCUGUGUAGUGUGUGUUUUCCGUCUAGCUCUGUGUGUGUGCGUCCGUGGUGGAUGGGUGGAAUGUGAGAGUGAUGGUGGGUGGAGAGUAUGUGAGUGUAUGUUGCCUUCUUUAAUUUUUUUUUUUUUUUUGGUUUUAAUGGAACAUCAAGCUGUGUUGGAAUGUCCGAAUGUUCAUCCAUAGAGGAUUUUAUGUGUAAUCUGUGGGUUGAUGGUGAGAGCCAGAAAAAGGAAAAAAAAAUGGAGGUCUGUGUAUGAUUGUUUUCGUGAGUCCGAAUGUGAUGAUGAUGAUGGAUUGGAAAAAGAAAAGAAGAUGGUUCUUUUUCUUUCACUGUGGGCCCUCCUGGAAAUUGUUGCCUUCCUCCCUCUAUAUUCUGUCUGUGUAUUUGUUAUAUAUAGAAAAAUGCAUAUAAAGUCAUGGUAUGUGUAUACGUGUGGGACCUCUUGUGCCAAUUGUUGUUGAGUGCAAAUUGAAGUCGGUAUGCAUUUGUAACUUGGAACGGUGAGGUGUCCAUUCUGUUAAGAAACCAAGACAAUCUAAAUUGAGGAGGGUGUAGGGUCCAUGUGGAUAGGGGUAGGUUAGGUUGUUAAGAUUGCAGAGGGUGUUGAGAUUUAAUUAGUUGAGUAGUUAGUUUGUUAUUUUUUGUAUUUUUGUGAAAUAUAAACACAUGUAUGAGAAUAUAUAAUAAUAAAAAUCCCUUCGCCAUCAACUUUUCUUGCUCAAUUUAGACCUCAAAGCACUCCAGCCCCUCUGCUACUUCCGAGAAAGGUGAAAGGAAUGAAGAACCAUCGGAUUUGAGGUUGUUAUUCCCUUCCAAGUCUUCCACCAUAAAGUAGCCCUUUUCCCCUUUUUUACAUCAACCUAAAAAGAUGAAAAAUCAGUCUCUUCUCUGCCUCCAAUUUCUUUUCUCUAAUUUAGAGCCUUUCCAAGAAUUCAAAUUUGAAUUCUUGAAGCCCUAUUGAGAGCCGUUGCAGCACUCUCAAAUUCAUCUAUAAAAGGAGCCCCUAGGCUCCCAUUUUUAAGAGGCAAGAAUCAAGAAUCAUCCGAAUUAUAAAAAAACUAACACCAAAUAGUAGUUCAUACUACUAUUUCCUCUUUAUUCUCUUGCUCUCUUGUCGAGUUUGAAGUUCAGAUUCGAGUUUAAAUCUUUGACGAGCAAGUCCUAAUUCGCUGCUCCAUAUAAGGUCUAUAAUCACAUUCACCUCUCGUUUUGUUUCGGUUCCUUGAAACAAAAAUGUAGUCAUUCAAUAGUCUUUUUUGCUUUAUUGAAAUUCUGCUAUUUGGAUGUGUUUGUGUUUCAUUGUUUGUUGUAGUUUCAGUUUGUAAAAAAUGGUUGAAUAAUCUAGACAACACCAUUUUAGCUCGAGAAGUCAAGUUUCUUUUCUAAAAUGUAGAACUUCUAUUUAUGUCCUUGUGCGGAAAAAUGGCACUGAAUGAAAAGUUUAACUAAGAAUAUGUUUGGUUUUGCUCUUCGCCUUGCAGUAUCUUCAUUGUGAGUCUCAUACGAAUCUAUUUAUUUUUUGUGUCCAAGAAUCUGUCAGUCUUUUUAGUUUUAAAUCAGUAAUGAAAGAUUGUCAAAAUACUAAUAUGGCUCCAGCAUUUAGAGUUUUGGCCUCAUUCACUAUUUGCACAGUGUUCUGGUUUGUUUAGAUAAAGGAUAAGAGACUCAUAAUUUCUUUUAAAAAUAAAAGUUAAAUCGGAGCUUGGUUUCUGCUCUUGUUGUUUAUGUUUUUGAGUAAAUGGGAGAAGAGUUUUGAUAUGGAUUAAGUGAGGGCAGUCCCCUUCUUGUCAUUUUGUUUAUCAGAAGUUUCAGCACAUGCUCGGUGUCAUUUGAAUAGGGGUACCUAUGUUGACCAUUGUUCUUUACUGUAGGCUGCUCACUUUCUAUAAGAUCAAGCUAAAAAUGUGUAUUUUGAUUCAAUCUUUGUCUAAGAUUUACAAAUUCCUUGCUUAUAGGUCUCGCAAAAAAUCUGUUUCCUUUCAGUCGGC
rnacentral:lncRNA from 1 species